rnacentral:lncRNA from 1 species
AAAGCUCUCACGUUUCCUUAAACAAGACGGGUUUUCCUUCUAGACUGGUUUUGUAGUUGGGCUUGUCUUUAGGGGAUUGUUUCUGUCCAGGAUUGAAGGGUUUUUCCGCUUCCAUCCUCCACGCUCCAGCCCGGCCCAGCUGCCCCGAGGUUAGAGAGCUGAGGACCGCCUACGGCAGGCCAAGGGGGCGGGAUCAGCCCAGCCCUCGGAGGCAAACUCAGCCCAGGGAGCGCGGAGCCCCCAGGCCAGCUGGGGGGCACAUAUGGCAGUGUCACCGGCUCCUCACCUGUGUCCACAGGUAUCCAGGCUCCGGAGCUUUCUCACGGUGAAGGUGAUUGAGUGAGCCGCCGAGCGGUGGGGACAGAAAUCUUUGAGUGAGGAGCACUGUUCCAACAUGGUAUUGAAAUCAUUCGUCUGGAGUAAAACGCUGGCCUCUUUCUGGGCACGGCAGGGCCUAGAGCGACAGGACCUGCACUCUCUGAGACCGCCCUUGGUUCUCAGAAAGUGCGGGGCCGGGGGCCCCAUCACCGGGAGGGGUGCUGCCCUGAAAUGCUCUUUGCAGAAAGUUUCAGCCGUAACAAAUGAGCACGCACCGCGCACCAGAUCGCGGACUCCGGGAUGGUGCCUGGAGGUGAGCAGAUCUUCCUUCGCCGCACAAGCUGGAACAGACACACGGCACCUCCGAGGACAUGCAUGAACUGAGCGAAACGUCAUCGUGGGAUGGCAGCGUCUUGCUCCUGCACGCGGCACACACACCGCAAGGACUGAGGACUUUCUUUGAAACACCGCUUUUGAGUUCUGAACCACUGUGUUGAACAGAACGCCCACUUCCCGCCUCCCCUUCCCCCAGUCUCUGGCCCAUGCUGGCCGCAUCUCACACAGAUGCCCUUCCCUCUUCCACCAUCUGCGAGGCCCUCCGCCUUCAGUCUGUCUCACGUCCCAGGUGGGUCUGCUCUUGUCCCCUUGAACCCCAAUACCCUGUUCCUACAGUGGACACCUCAUUAACUCUUCCAGGUACAAAUCUCUCCUCUCUGCUAGAGAGCAAGACCGUGUGGGUCCCACGGCCACCAGGACAGAAGUUAUCCCUACAGAAGAUUCAAUGAGAGGAUGUGGAUUCCUUGCCACUACUAGAAAAUAUAGUGCCAAGUCCCACAUCAGAAGUCUCGUGGGUGAAAACGCUUUUUCACAAGGAAUUACAAUAUGUCACAGUGAAAAAACGUUUUCCAAGAUUCAGCUAGUUCUGUGAAGAGGCAAUGAUGCCUCUUACGGCGACGAGGGAUGCUGCUGAGGAACAGAGAGUGGAAGCCACAUUGCUUACAAAAGAAACAAAACCGAAGCCAAGGCAUGGAUCAGAGUCCCCAGCAAGCAGGAGCUGCUGUGUAGUCACCACAUGCCACUCCCCUCAUUAUUAGCCACCACUUGGAUUCACGGAGACAACUUCCCUCUCUCCAUUGCAAACUUUCAUCUUGUUUUUUCUUUUCUUUUUAUUUAAAUCAAUAACAAAAUCUUCUGUUCAUUGCUUACCAAUGAACACACAAAAAGCUUCCCUUUGUCUAGACUAUCGCCUGUCUGAAUUUCUGAACCGUCAGCCUCCUGUGUCCCUGCAGGGCUCCAGUUCCAGCCUCUGUUUCAGAGCCACUUUGCUCAGUGUCUGCAGGCUGGAAGGGCGUGUUUGAACUCUCUGCCAGGAUAGGUUAGCUACUUCCCCUUGACUUUAUUUUAUUUAUUUUUAAAACUACUUUAUUAAAAUAUGAUUGUCAUAUAAAAAGUUGUAGAUAUUUAAUGUAUAAAAUGUGAUGUGUUUGGGAUAAGUGCACGGCUAUGAAACCCUCAACACAAUCAAGGCCAUAACCUACCUUUCAC